UAUUUUCUAAGGUAUACGCCAAGCUCUUAUCUUGAACCUACAGUUUAAAAAUGGGAGUUCAAUAUAUAAAUACUGAUAUGGAUUUCUUAUAUUUUAAAGAAAAGAUAGAAGUAUUUUUGAGGACACCCACCUAUCAUUAGAUAGGUGUCAACGAAAGAGCAGCGGUAUUUUGGAUGUAUA
rnacentral:other from 1 species